rnacentral:rRNA from 1 species
GACGAACGCUGGCGGCGUGCUUAACACAUGCAAGUCGAACGGAAAGACCCUGCUUUUGUGGGUUGCUCGAUUGGCGAACGGGUGAGUAACACGUGAGUAACCUGCCCUUGUCUUUGGGAUAACUUCAGGAAACUGGGGCUAAUACCGCAUAGGAUCUCCUGCUGCAUGGUGGGGGUUGGAAAGUUUCGGCGGUUGUGGAUGUUCUCGCGGCUUAUCAGCUUGUUUGUGGGGUAGUGGCUGACCAAGGCUUUGACGGGUAGCCGGCCUGAGAGGGUGACCGGCCACAUUGGGACUGAGAUACGGAGCAGAAUCCUACGGGAGGCAGAAGUGGAGAAUAUGGCACAAUGGGCGGAAGCCUGAUGCAGCAACGCCGCGUGCGGGAUGACGGCCUUCGGGUUGUAAACAGCUUUCGACUGUGACGAAGCGUGAGUGACGGUAAUGGGUAAAGAAGCACCGGCUAACUACGUG